GUUGAAACACUGGUUCCUGUAUGAUCACAGAAGUUAAGCAAUGCCGAGCCUGGUCUGUACCUAGAUAGGUGACGACUUGGGAAUACCAGGUGCUGUAA